CCUGCAUCCUUUGCGCCACCGUAAAGCCUUAUGGGUAGGUUACCAACGUCCUUGUCCUACCAAGCGCACACCGACUGCCUUCACGCAAGGGCUUGAGGGUCUCUGUCAUUCACUCGAACUUAAAGAAAAUCAGAUUUUCAAACAUGAUGGCAGCAAGAUUUCUCCGCCGUGCUCUCCCCGUGCUGAGGCAAGCUCGCUCCUACGCCGAGGCCGUCUCCGGUUCCCCGCAGAUGUCCUUCACUUUCGCCUCCCCGACACAGGUGUUUUUCAAAGAGGCCAGUGUGAAACAGGUUGACGUGCCCACACUCACUGGUGCGUUCGGUAUCCUUCCUGCCCAUGUACCUACCCUGCAGGUGCUCCGGCCCGGUGUUGUCACAGUCUUUGGUGACGACGGCUCCGCUGCCAAAUACUUUGUGAGCAGUGGGUCAAUAACAGUCAACGCUGAUUCUUCAGUGCAACUGCUAUGUGAGGAGGCUGUUGCUUUGGACCAGCUGGACAUUGCUGCCGCCAAGGCCAACCUGGAGAAGGCCCAGUCUGACUUGGCCGGCACAUCUGACGAGGCGGCGAGGGCAGAAGUUCAGAUCAGCAUAGAGGCCAACGAGGCCAUCGUCAAGGCUCUGGAGUAGACCUGUGGUACGACAUCUCAGCUGCCGCACCGUGAUGUGAUUGUUAGAGAGAUGUCAUUUAGAUUAAUCCAACAGGAUAAUGUACUCUUUUGUGUUUCUUUGAUGGAAACGAAUGGUCAAUCUGUUUCCAGCUGCUUGCUUUGUACAGUGGAUAAAAUUACAAAAUAAAUUUAUUAGGAAAUAACCUG